UCCGGUGAACGAACUUGUUUUCCAACGACCCACAAAACUCCUUUUGAACGCUGAAGUUAAAUAAUCAAUUAUAAUGUAAUGCGAUUAUGAUUUUUUUAUUUGACCAAACCGGGUUAUGCAUUUUGAAAUCUAUGACGAAACCGGGUUGUAUACAUUGACGAAACCGGCCAGUUCCAUUUUGACAUGACCCAUUUCUUUCGUUCCAUACACAGAGAUACAAUUAUCGAGAUGCUCAUAAUAACUAAAUUUGCAAUCUCCGUGUCAAUAUCUAUCUUCCCGUACCUUUCUUUCCGUGCAAUGUGAACAAUUU
rnacentral:lncRNA from 1 species